rnacentral:rRNA from 1 species
AUACGUAGGGGGCGAGCGUUGUCCGGAAUGAUUGGGCGUAAAGGGCGCGUAGGCGGCCCGGUAAGUCUGGAGUGAAAGUCCUGUUUUUAAGAUGGGAAUUGCUUUGGAUACUGUCGGGCUUGAGUGCAGGAGAGGUAAGUGGAAUUCCCAGUGUAGCGGUGAAAUGCGUUGAGAUUGGGAGGAACACCAGUGGCGAAGGCGACUUACUGGACUGUAACGGACGCUGAGGAGCGAAAGUGUGGGGAGCAAACAGGAUUAGAUACCCUGGUAGUCCGCACUGUAAACGAUGAAUGCUAGGUGUAGGGGGUAUCGACCCUUCUGUGCCGCAGUCAAAACAAUAAGCAUUCCGCCUGGGGAGUUCGGCCGCAAGGUUGAAACUCAAAUGAAUUGACGGGG